rnacentral:rRNA from 1 species
GACGAACCGUGCGAACGUUGUUCGGAAUCACUGGGCUUAAAGGGCGCGUAGGCGGAUCAUCAAGUCCGGGGUGAAAUCCCGCAGCUCAACUGCGGAAGGGCCUUGGAUACUGGUGGUCUCGAGGGAGGUAGGGGCAUGUGGAACUUCCGGUGGAGCGGUGAAAUGCGUAGAUAUCGGAAGGAACGCCGGUGGCGAAAGCGACGUGCUGGACCUCAUCUGACGCUGAGGCGCGAAAGCCAGGGGAGCAAACGGG